AGGUCUUUGCUUUGUGUGUGGAUCUGUUGUUGGUUGGAGCUCACCUUCGUCUGUUAAACCAUAGAGCAUCAUUCAUAUUCCAGUUUUAGCUUUGUUGAGUGGUGCAAGAACUUAAAGACACGUGCAUGAUAAUGACUUUGGGGAAGGAAGAGAGACUCCAGAACUACUUUGUUCUCUUCAAAGACUGAGCCUCAGGAGAAGAACUGGACCAGUCAACCCUAUGAGAAGUGCCAUGGAAGUGUUAAAGAAAAGGAUCUAGAGGCCAGAAUAUAUGAUAGCAGAAGAGCUUCAGAAGUAUGGAUGAUCUUAGGGUAAUUAAUAAAUAUAAUUGAGAUAUUUUAAGGUAGAUAUAAUUAUAACAAAAAUGCUAUUCAUGCUGCUAUAUUUUCCUUACAAUUUUUUGAUGCCCAUUAGGGGUA